rnacentral:lncRNA from 1 species
UUUGAGCAAUAAAAUUGGACUGCUUAAACUUGGGGGUUAAUGUAGCCCUCUGGCUCACGUCAUAAAGGAAAUUGAUUUUUAUUUUCAAAGUCAAUGGUGAGUAAAUGAACAAUGGUUGCCAGGCAACCUGUGAGCAGGGAUUGAGUAGAGACUAAAGCAAACAGCAGCCUCCACCCGCCACCCCAGGAACCCAGAGCCUCUCAGGCCUUGUGCUUCUAGGUUACCCUGAUGGGCAGGACACGCUCCCAUCACCUGGGACUCCUGGCACCCUGGGGAGGGCUGUGCCUUCAGGACUCGCCUUAGACCAGGAGGAGCCAUGGAAGGAUUUUUCUGGAGAGAAGGAGUGGAGAGCUUGGGAGGAAACGUCCACGGAGAUGUGGGAGACAGGGGCAUUGAAUCAGGAGCCACCAUUUCAGCAAAUAAAGGGAUCUCUGAGAAGGUGUUAGUUCAGGACCACGGACAGCAGCCUGCGAAACUUGAGCACUGCAUUCCGCCCACACUGGAGCAAACCCACUUGCUCCAUCGCUUGACCUACUUGAGCAUCGCUUGACCUACUCAUCUUUACAUGAAGAGCCAAUGUGAGUACUAUUCACAGGGUGAAACACAGGCAGGAGAUCCAGAAAGGACCCCCCGUCAUCCCCAUCAAACACCUCCCAACCAGUCUCCUACCUUGUGAAAAAUGCCAUUGUCCUCAUAUUUGGGUUAAGCUAUUUUUCACCUCCAUGAAAAAAAAAAUAGGUCAUAUUCCCAUGGAUGUAGGGUCUGGGAUGGUUUGAAGAAAUGUCCUUCCCCUAAAAAGGCUUGAAAUCUAGUUGGGCAGAUAAAAGAUCUGCAUAAGUGACAGGCGCGGUGGUUCAUGCCUGUAAUCCCAACACUUUGGGAGGCCAAGACAGGCAGAUUACUUGAGCCUAGGAAUUUGUGACCAGGCUGGGCAACAUGAGGAAACCCUGCCUCUAUGGAAAAAUAUAAAAAUAAGCCGGGUGUGGUGGUACACACCUGUAGUCCCAGCUACCCCAAAGGCUGACGUGGGAGGAUUGCUUGAGCCCAGAAGGCGGAGGUUGCAGUGGGCUGAGAUCAUGCCACUGCACUCCAACCUGGGUGACAGAGCCAGACUGGGUCUCAAAAAAAAAAAAAAAAAAAAAAAAAAAAAAAAAAGAUAUUCAUACAAGGUAAUCUACACAAAGAGAAAAACAGUAUUUGGCAAGAGCCAAAUAGUGGUGUUGAGGAUGGUAAGUGCUACAAGAUCUCAGCAGACAGUGAUCUCCUGAGGUGGAAGGCAUGCAGUGGAAUUGAGCUGAGCCUUAAUGUUUGGGGAAGAUGAAUGAGCAAGAGGAGAAGGCAUUCCUGGCCAGGGCACAUGUGGAAAGGUAUGGAAGCAGAAACGUGCAUGGCACAUGCA